CUCCAGUGGCAGGAAAACAUAUGUUUUCCAGGCACUGCAGAAUCCUGCAGUUUCCCUCUCCCUACCACACCCAUCCCCAGUUCCUGAAGGGGUUAAAACUCCUUGAGUGACUUACCUGAAUCCAGCGCCUAUGUCCCUCAGCGCUGGCUCAGGCUCCGCCCAUGCUUCUCUCCCGCCGACAUCAGUCGGCAGGCCAGACUUAAUGCUCCUGCACGGCAAUGGCCUCCUGCGUGCAUUAGACCUCC